rnacentral:rRNA from 15 species
UAAAAGAGUUUAAUCCUGAAUGUCAGCGCAAGUGGUAUGCCUGACACAUGCACGUCAUACAAAACUUUUUAACUUAGUGGCAGACGGCUAAGUACAUUUUAGAACUUGCCCUUUGGAGGGUAGA